rnacentral:rRNA from 1 species
AUUGAACGCUGGCGGCAGGCUUAACACAUGCAAGUCGAGCGGGGGAAGGUAGCUUGCUACCGGACCUAGCGGCGGACGGGUGAGUAAUGCUUAGGAAUCUGCCUAUUAGUGGGGGACAACAUCUCGAAAGGGAUGCUAAUACCGCAUACGUCCUACGGGAGAAAGCAGGGGAUCUUCGGACCUCGCGCUAAUAGAUGAGCCUAAGUCGGAUUAGCUAGUUGGCGGGGUAAAGGCCUACCAAGGCGACGAUCUGUAGCGGGUCUGAGAGGAUGAUCCGGCAAACUGGGACUGAGACCCGGCCCAGACUCCUACGGGAGGGAGCAGUGGGGAAUAUUGGACAAUGGGGGGAACCCUGAUCCAGCCAUGCCGCGUGUGUGAAGAAGGCCUUAUGGUUGUAAAGCACUUUAAGCGAGGAGGAGGCUACUUUAGUUAAUACCUAGAGAUAGUGGACGUUACUCGCAGAAUAAGCACCGGCUAACUCUGUGCCAGCAGCCGCCGUAA